rnacentral:rRNA from 1 species
AGUGAACGCUGGCGGUAGGCCUAACACAUGCAAGUCGAACGGCAGCACAGUAAGAGCUUGCUCUUACGGGUGGCGAGUGGCGGACGGGUGAGGAAUAAAUCGGAAUCUACUUUUUCGUGGGGGGUAACGUAGGGAAACUUACGCUAAUAACGCAUACGACCUACGGGUGAAAGCAGGGGAGCUUCGGACCUUGCGCGAUUGAAUGAGCCGAUGUCGGAUUAGCUAGUUGGCGGGGUAAAGGCCCACCAAGGCGACGAUCCGUAGCUGGUCUGAGAGGAUGAUCAGCCACACUGGAACUGAGACACGGUCCAGACUCCUACGGGAGGCAGCAGUGGGGAAUAUUGGACAAUGGGCGCAAGCCUGAUCCAGCCAUACCGCGUGGGUGAAGAAGGCCUUCGGGUUGUAAAGCCCUUUUGUUGGGAAAGAAAAGCAGCAGGUUAAUACCCCGCUGUUCUGACGGUACCCAAAGAAUAAGCACCGGCUAACUUCGUG